GAACCUCGGUGACGGUUGGCCAGUUUUUUUACAGUGGCUCUGAAAUGAGAGAAAUUGCAGAAAUUCUCCCUGCUCAGGAAAAGGUAGAGGCAAGGAUUGACUUAAAGAUGGGUAAGAAGCGUGUUACUGAUCAUAAGCUAAAUGUGGACAAAGUAAUUAAAAAUAUUAACACAAUUUCUUCGGAGUUGAAGAAGAUAAAAGUUAAUUGAGCCUGUCAGAACAUCUCUGCUAAACAAACAUACUUCUGGACCAGUGAUUCACAGUCUUGGCUUCAAAUUAGAAUUACCUGGGAAGUUUGAAGACUCCCAGAGCUGACACAGCACCCCCAGAAUAAUUAGAAUCUCAAGGUGAGACCCAGGAAUCGGGAUUUUUCAAAAGUUCUCCGGGUGAUCUAAAUGUGCAACUACUACUGAGAACUACUGGUGUGGAGUUUAAGUGUGAAAGAUGAAAGAUUUUUGCUUUCCCAUUUCUGAUAAAUAAAUCUAAGGUAAAGUUUCGGCACUGGCUACGGGAAAUAUGUUUAAGACUUUAUGAUAUUAAAGGACUAGCUAGAAACGUCUAGGGCAAAAAGCAAAAAGUUGCUGCCAUCUCUUUAAUAUUGGUCCUUUCACAUCAACAUGGAUGGCACGUCUGUGUUAAGAGGAAGAUAGAACUGGUACGAUGUUGGAACUUUGAAAGAGAGUCUCCUUCUGACACCAUGUGAUUCCUAUGACAAGACAGACUCUUUCAUUAAUAAAAUCUCCUAAGAUGCUGCCAACCAAAUGACUGCCUUGAGAUUCUUCUGCCAGCCUAAUGAUUCCCGAGCCUAGGAAUCCCUGCUAUGGGUGCUGGUAGUUGUGAAGCUGGCACUAAUGGGUCUCCUAGGUAUUACAGAAAGCAACAGCACCUAGCAGAAUUCCUAGCCUGUAAUUGGUACUCAGGACAGGUCAGUUCCCUUCUCUGCCAUUAAUAUUUACAACUAUGUUAAAAUAAACUAUAGCACAAUACCUGGUUUAUCUUUCUAAGAGCAGCUUCUGCCUCUGGUCGGGUAAUAUAAGAAACGUACCACUCUUCAUUUAAUGAAUUCUGAAAAUGUAAAUUUUUAGAAACUGAAUAAAUUUUACAGUUACAGAUGUAAGUGAAAA